GUGAAGAGCUUUUUCCUCUGCUUUUCUUUAUAGGAAUAAAAGGCCUUUCUGUUCUUUCAGCUGAGCGACCUCUGCCUUUUAGGGGGAAAUGAAGUUUCUGCUCCACUCACCCAUCACCACCACCCAGAAAUUCGGCAGCUUCUGUGCCUGAGCCAGGUGAACAAUUGGUACAGCUGGGGAUGGGAAGGAAGAAAAGAAAAGUAUGUGAGCACACAUUUGUACUUUUUCCAGCAAAGAAGGCAGGAAGAUUGAUCACCACAAGGAAAAGAUCUUAAAACACCUCUCAGUUCUGAGAAAUAAUCAGAUCCUUACUUCUGAAAUGUGGCAGAGAAUUGUAUGAUUCAGGGCUUGGACAGCCCACUCCACAGAAGGACAUCAAGAAUGAGGCUCACUGGCAGUUUCAGAGUAACAAGAGUAACAAGUGAUGAUAAUCUUUCUCCGCACAAUGACAUCUUUAAGAGCCAGAGAGAAAAUUACAGUCAAAACCACGUGCAUUCAGGCAAUUUAGACAAUUUUCUGUGUGCAGACAAAAUCCCUGGAUUUCUCCUCAGUGUUUAUCAAGAUUGUGCAGCGUCGUGUCCGUGA
rnacentral:lncRNA from 1 species